rnacentral:rRNA from 1 species
UACGAGUGCUCCAAGCGUUAUCCGGAAUUAUUGGGCGUAAAGGGUGUGUAGGUGGUUGUGUUAGUCUUUUGUUAAAUUCUUCGGCUUAACCGGGGGCAUGCGAAGGAAACGGCACAACUAGAGGAUGCGAGAGGUGAAUGGAACUCAUGGAGUAGGGGUGAAAUCCGUUGAUAUCAUGGGGAACACCAAAUGCGAAGGCAAUUCACUGGCGCACUCCUGACACUGAGACACGAAAGCGUAGGUAGCGAAUGGG